GAUGAACGCUAGCUACAGGCUUAACACAUGCAAGUCGCGGGGCAGCAUGGGGGUUGCUUGCAACCCCUGAUGGCGACCGGCGCACGGGUGAGUAACGCGUAUCCAACCUGCCCUUCACCACGGGAUAACCCGGCGAAAGUCGGACUAAUACCGUAUGUUGUCCAUUGACGGCAUCCGAUUGGGACGAAGCGAUUGGCGGUGAAAGGAUGGGGAUGCGUCCGAUUAGUUUGACGGCGGGGUAACGGCCCACCGUGGCUACGAUCGGUAGGGGUUCUGAGAGGAGGGGCCCCGACACUGGAACUGAGACACGGUCCAGAGUGCUACGGGAGGCAGCAGUGAGGAAUAUUGGUCAAUGGACGUAAGCCUGAACCAGCCAAGUAGCGUGCAGGAUGGCGGCGCUAGGGAUUGUAAACUGCUUUUAGGCGAGGAUAAAGUGGCGCACGGGUGGGCUUUUGCAGGUACCGCAUGAAUAAGGACCGGCUAAUUCCGUG
rnacentral:rRNA from 1 species